UCCUUAAUUUUGGACUUGUGAUUCUAGGAUUUGUCAUAUUAGUGAAUAUCAUAUGGGGCUAGCUCCUCUUUGCUCGUUUUUUAGUUAAAAUCAGAAAUUUAGCCCUCAACAAUUUCAUUUAGCAGUCUCACAUACAAUGAUGCAGCAUAGUUUGAGUGGUGACGUGAAGGACCUUAUAGGCAUGCACAAGAUAGGAUCCAAUCCCAUUUAUUUACCUCAUUUGAGUGUUUUUGCUUUGAAUGCAGACACAAAUUGAUUACAAGGUCAUAAACAUGGACCGAUGGAUAGGUUUCUAUCGGUUUUGCAAUGAGUUCCUUGCUAUUCAAAUGUUGAGAGAAGACAUGGUGCCUCACCCUCAGUCAUCGUUAUAGGUGGUGGUUUUGCCAGUAUGGCAGCUGCUCAGGCCCUUCAUGAUGCUUCAUUUUAGCAGGGAGAAAAUGAACUCCUUGGAGUUGAUGGCAAGUAUGACAAAAUGUCAAGUUUUCAAGGACACAAUUAGGUCAUAUUGAACUUGUGGAAUUCAAUUUCCUGGCCAUGCAAAAUUUGAAUUCUCUUCCAGGAGACUCCAAAUAUUUGACUAAUUGAUCUACGAUUUGUAGUUAUGCUUUUUGGAUGUUUAAAGUUGUAGUUUAGAGAU